AUGGACACAUGAGUCGUACCUGCAUUGCUGCUGUCUUCCUAUCAGUGAGAACCUGUCUCCUUCCCUUCUGUCAACAGGCAUCUGUAGGCUUUGUUAAUCUAGGAGUCUGACCACCCACGUCCUCAGCUGGUCCUGUCCCUCCACAGCCCUCUUCUCCCAGCCCUUCAAUCAUCUCUCCGGACUAUAAGCUUAUUAAGAGCACGGGAGUAGUCAGCACAUCAAGUGUUUGGCACCGGGGUGAGGUGACUGACUACAGCUCUGGGAAGCUCCGCAGAACAAACACCAGAAUGAACGGUGUCUUCAUUCUCCAGUGAGAGGACUUUGCAUCCUGACUUUGUGUACUCUUUCAGGAGCAGACCACCAGAGACAGUCACACAAGGGGAGGGGAGAUGGCAUUGUGGGAGUGGCCCACUCCGUGAGCACAUGAAAUUUUAGAUCUCCACUUCCGUUUGGUAGCAUGUAAAACAGCAGACUCUUGGAAAGUCAUCUUUGGAGGGAACCCAAGAGGUCAUCAUAUCCAGAACUUCAUUUUACAAACAUGUAAACUGAGGCCAGAAAGAGAAAAUGACAGGAGCAAAUAGGUGAUGCUAAUAGGUGAUGGUGUUGGAUUCAAACCCAGGUGUUUUAUCCUGAUGCAAUAAGAAAUACGGAUUUGGUCUCUGUCCCUGGUUCCUGGCAUACAGCUCCUAAAACCCUUGUAAUCUCUGACAAAAGAAUGUCUUUUGGAUGCUAAGAGGAAACUGGUGGCUGGGAGCCCCUAGAUGGCUUCAGAAUGGGGGCUGGUCACCAGAAAGACCAUGGUAUGAUUAGAACCUCUUGAGAGGAGAGAGGGGCUGAAGGUUGCGUUGAUACCUUAUGGCCGAUGAUGUAAUCAAUCAGGCCUAUGUCAUAAAGCUUCCAUAAAAACCAAAGAAAACUUGGUUCAGGAGGCUCCAGACAGCUGAACCUGUGGAGGCGCCUGGAGGGUGGAUCUUCCGGAAAGCACAUGGCAGCUCCGCGCCCCUUCCCACAUGACUUGCCCUGUGCAUCUCUUCCAUCUGGCUGCUCAUCUGUAUCCUUUAUCAUAUCCUUUAAAAGAAACCGGUAAAUGUAAAGUUUCUACCAUUUCAAUUCUUUGUGGAACUCAAUCUGUUUUCUUAACUGAUGCAAAAAAGACCACUUAAAGAUCUGCCUGAAAGAACUUCUAGAUAGCGAGUGGAGUGCCAAGGCUCGGUCUUAGACCACCUCUGUUUCUACCAGUACUCACUCCCUAGGUAAUCUUAUCCAUUCUCAUUACUUUAAGUACCAUCUUUUGUUUGUUUGUUUGUUUGUUUUUUGAGACAGAGUUUUG
rnacentral:lncRNA from 1 species